rnacentral:misc_RNA from 1 species
GAUGAAGAACGUAGCGAAAUGCGAUAAGUAAUGCGAAUUGCAGAAUUUCCGUGAGUCAUCGAAUCUUUGAACGCACAUUGCGCCCACUGGUAUUCCGGUGGGCAUGCCUGUUCGAGAGUCAUUAUCCUCCCUCAAACCCCGGGUUUGGUGUUGGACCGAAGUUGUGUGAACAACUGGUCUAAAAAACAAUGACGGCGUCCGUGGGACCCUCGGUGCAACGAGCUUUUAGGAGCACGCGCCGAGUUGCAAGGACCUUCCGGGCCGGUCUCCUUUUACUAUUUUACAAGGUUGACCUCGGAUCAGGUAGGAAUACCCGCUGAACUUAAGCAUAUCAAUAAGCGGAGGA